rnacentral:misc_RNA from 1 species
AAAAGCGCGGACCCGGUGGCGUGCAACGGAUGCUGAGAAGGACUGCUGCUGUUCCUCACCAUUGAAGGAAGGCGAAAACGAAAGCAAAAAAAAAGGGACGGGGGAUUGCCGCUCUUUCACUGAGAAUCGAAAACUUUAACGCGCUGGACGUUGUCGUGUAGCACACGAUCGACAACGAAGGGCUUUGUGUGUACGCGUGGUGCAGUUCAAACACGAGUGAUGCCGGUGCCCGCUCUGACAGGAGUGAUAGCAGCUCUGCGUACCCGCGCAUGCAACACCGCUCACACGCCACCAGCACACGUGCCACGACCUACACUUUCAUCUCUCGUACCUUCUCUCAGCACCUGCGACACUGGCGACUUCAGCUUGACCAUCGAGUCCGAAUUGCAGAGUGCCGAGACGUAGCAGGGACACUCAUUGUAUUUCUUCCGCUACGUCAAGCACGCGGAUGAGGCCUCCUCGAAGCGCGGGGGGGGGGUGGACCAGCUCGUGGAGGCAGACUUGAAGGGAUCGGAGGCGGCUCUUACCAGCAGCACUGCCAAGGAUGAGGGCCUCCUGAAGGAGUGGUCACUCCGCACCCACUACAUCGAGCUCGCCUCCAUCCAAUGCACCAAACUAACUCACAAAAAAAAAACUCAUCGACAAGCGCACAGGCCAUCUUUCCGCAGGCUUCAUGGUGAACCCAGACAACGAAUUCAUGCACAUGGCGGCCGGCACCAUCCAAUACGACUGCAAGCCACACACUGAUCUAUAGGGGCCGUCAGCCUCGACGGCGGCGGCAAAGAUGCUGUGGCCCAAGCUCAUGACCGUGGUGCACGAGGACUUGGCAGGGCUGCUUGUGCACGAGAAGCCGGCUCUGCAUCGCAAGGUGGUGGCGGCCAUACGUGCAUUUCACGUGCGCUCCGAUGCAGCCAUCGGCACUGUGGCCACAUUCCGGCAGGCUUUAUGCGGUGCGCGACCCGAACCUGCUCUGCGCCGGCAUUCAGGUCGUCAGUGUUCUAUCGUUCGCGUGAUUCCUGGCUGAGCUGCAUAGCACCAGGAGGUGGCCAUGUGCAGCCUGUUGACGCCUCCUUGACAGCGCAGUUUGAGCGAGUUUUUCGGAAGAGUCUUGUCCUUGCCGGGGAAUGUAACAGACAGUUCCCAAUGACGAGUCUCUCUGACUGCACUGCGCGUCGUCGAGAUUAUCGGCACGGAGUUCACUGCUGCAGCGGCGUACUGCAGCGCACCCGGCGCGAGCGCCACAGGGGAGGGUGCUUGCAUGCCUUUUUGGUUGCAACGCAGCAAAGAUGAGCGUCACAGUGCGCUCCUCAGAGCGGGAGGUAAAGAUGUGGAGGUGAUGCGCCGAAGGCAAACAGUGUGACGGUAGAGGAGGGCAAGGCAAUGCGAUCAGCGACGUGUCCUCACGGCCACGCUUCUGUGGAGAGCCGAACGCCUGUGUCCUCUUGGCCGGAGGCCCUGCCAAACUGGCGAGUAAUGCGCGUUUCUCUCUGCUCUGCCCUGCCCGUCGUGCGCUUGCUUGCUUCGCGAGCGCCUUCUCCUUCGUUUUUUUUCUUUUUUUUCAGGGAGGGGGAGACGGGGCUUGCUCCAAGGGCGCUCCUACCUUCUUCUGCUCGUGGGCACUAAGACACACACGCACACACAUACACAAGAGAAAUACAGAAAAG